UCUGAUAAAAGCUGCGCUGUCCAGUGACACCAUCUCUACUUUCAAUGACCCUCUGAUCAGCAAGUUCAUCAACAUGAUGAUGCAAGAUGGCAACAAAAUCCUUGCUAGAGGAAUCAUGACACAGACGCUGGAGACUAUGAAGAGAAAACAGGUGGAGAAAUACCACAGAUCUCCUGCAGCCAAGAGACUAGAGAUC